AACGAACGCUGGCGGCAUGCCUAACACAUGCAAGUCGAACGAGACCUUCGGGUCUAGUGGCGCACGGGUGCGUAACGCGUGGGAACCUGCCCUUAGGUUCGGCAUAACUCCCCGAAAGGGGUGCUAAUACCGGAUAAUGUCUUCGGACCAAAGAUUUAUCGCCUUUGGAUGGGCCCGCGUUGGAUUAGCUAGUUGGUAGGGUAAAAGCCUACCAAGGCGACGAUCCAUAGCUGGUCUGAGAGGAUGAUCAGCCACACUGGGACUGAGACACGGCCCAGACUCCUACGGGAGGCAGCAGUGGGGAAUAUUGGACAAUGGGCGAAAGGCUGAUCCAGCAAUGCCGCGUGAGUGAUGAAGGCCUUAGGGUUGUAAAGCUCUUUUACCCGGGAUGAUAAUGACAGUACCGGGAGAAUAAGCUCCGGCUAACUCCGUG
rnacentral:rRNA from 1 species